UGUUUUUUGCCAUUUAUUUAAACAAUCGUCAUUUAAACAAUACCCAACCGAAGUACCGGCUGGCAACCAUGCAUCGUUGUGUUCAGGAGAAUCUUUCGAACAAAACUGCGUAAAAAAAUUAAUCCCAAUAUUUUUCCCACUCAGCCGCCCGUAUUGCCUGGACUAACAGGUAUCUGAUGUCCGGCCGUACUGUGCCGGUUAAUCCCCUUUUGUCCGAAAUCCACGGCCACCUUUUAUUAAUACGAACCGUACCUUUUAUAACAAACAAUUAAUAUACACAAUCGUAGCGUCGUCGUCGACGUUCGGCGGUUAUUAUUGGAUGUCGCCUUUGGUAUAGAGGGGGACCCAAGUAAACUUGGCGAUAAAGACAGACGGUAGCUCAUGUCACUAAGGAUAAAGUGGGAUAAAAUGUGGACCAGACGCUUAAUCUGGCCGACACGAACUCAUAAACAGGAAGUUUUUGCAUCGUUCAUUUCAAAUGGAAGUCGGAGUGAGGAUGUUGUAGUGCGCGCAGAAAACGACGCCAAGUGACGAUUUUCAUCAUCGAAAUACAUUUUUCGUGUUUUCAGUUGAAUUUCUUUUUCUACACGUUAAAUAAUGUUACGUAUGCAAAACUAAUGCGCUGUAUACGCAAGUUAAUUGUGCAAAAAUAGAUUGCUUGCAGAAUGUGUUGUGUUAUCCGUUGAGAAGUUUUGGCGGGAGAUGGAUGUUCUGAAAUGGCCCGGGGAUUUUUACACUUGGAACAAUUUCGAUGCGUACAUGCAUCUUUUAUGUUUGAAAAUCUACAACCUGCUAAAAAGGAGAACGCAACUUCUCAAUAUAAUUAGUGUGUUCAACAUCCGUAAGGGAUUGCACAUGGAUUAAGUUCAAGGGAGUUAUUUAUUGGUGGAGGACGAAGAGAGUUAACGAAAACACGAAGAGAAACUAAAACCCUUUGAGACUGUUAUGAUUUCAACCGAGUGGGUCGGAAAACAGUUGUACAUCCGCUGUGGAAGAGGAAAGGAAUACUUGUUCGGAUAUUUCGGGGUCGGUUGGCAUUCCGCACGGUAAUAGUUACGUACUAGGUAUAUACCUUCAUACGUACGAAUGUUGUUAAUUAAAAUGACUUUAAUAGCUCAAAUUGUUAUCGAAGCGCUCGCUGGCGAAUUUUCACAGGCGCUCGCCGAGCUAGAAGUAGCAGCGAGUUAAUUAAAAGGCGUCGACGUUACUUGUUGAUAACCUGCUCUUCUCGGUAACAGUAAUCGGUGUAUACCCCUACCAAUAAUCGAAGACUCGAUAUUAGGGGUUGUUUACAAAAUACGUUAUGCGUAUUUUGACAUUUAAGAAUUAAAGUAGUAGAGUUUCUAGUUAUAU